rnacentral:tRNA from 1 species
GGAGGGGUGCCGGAGUGGCUGAACGGGGCAGUCUCGAAAACUGUUGAAGGCGCAACCCGUCUUCCGGGGGUUCGAAUCCCCCUCCCUCCU